rnacentral:lncRNA from 1 species
UAUCAGUGUAUAUGAAUGAGACAGGAAAAGCAGAUAUGUUGACCAGGAAGAAAAAUAAGAGAAAUUAGAGAGAUCAGGCAUUUCUUCUAUCUGCCUCAGAAAGCAAGAUGGUGCUAACAAUGGGAUGUGCUAGAGGGCUGGAAUAUUUGAGGAUGGGGUGGCAAAAACUGGAAAAAGAUUUUUAACAGAAAGUCAGAGAUGCCAAAGAUUACCUUCCUUUUUAUUCAGGUAAACUGGCAAACUAUCCUGUAAGGUCGCGUAAGGAUGUGGCCUCCACUCACCCACUCCCAGCCCAUUUUUGUGCCAGUCUUGCCAUGGUCUUCUGGGUAAUCCUGAAACUAGGACUCUCUUUCUCAAUCAGCCAACAAGAAGCCUAGUGAGAGCCAAAGGAGGACAACUGCAGCAUCAGUCAAUCAGCAAGUGUGGGGGACUCUGGGGACAGAAUUUAGAAGAUCUCCUUUCUCUUCAUUACUUGUCUUCUGUGUACAAUGCUUUAUUACCUUCACAUAAGCAAAGGGCUUGGUGGAGAGCAGAGAGCAAAUAGAUAAUAUAAGAAUCUCACCCCCAAAU